GGGACAAUCCUACAAUAGACGUGGAAGUAAAUCAAAAAGUGGAAUCGAUCAUGUUCCCGAUGUGGCUACCAUUUCCUGAAUCGGAAUUUAAAUCUUCAGCGGUUGUUAUAAAAUGUUUACUUGUAUCCGCUUGUACUUUUAUGUACAUAGUUUUCUGUAUGAUCUUUCUUGCACUAAUGAUUUAUUGUGUUUGGUUAUUGAAAAUGCAACAGGCGAAAAUUCAUAAGUGCAACUGGGACUCGUAUGACAUGGCAGCAAAUCCAUCUGCUGAUAUGACGGCUCUUAUUAUAAACAACCUGCGUGUAUUUGGAUUUAUUGAGCAUGUAGAUAAAUCUGUUAGAUAUGCUAUUUUGGUCGAUGUUCUCCUGAAUUCCAUCAAUAUUGCAUCUCUUGCGACGAGUUGGCGCGGGGCUGCGCAAACGGCUUGGUGCUCCAACCCAAAGCACCGGCGCAGUAACUCGGUUCAAUUGCUGGGA